GACGAACGCUGGCGGCGUGCUUAACACAUGCAAGUCGAACGGAAAGGCCCUGCUUUUGUGGGGUGCUCGAGUGGCGAACGGGUGAGUAACACGUGAGUAACCUGCCCUUGACUUUGGGAUAACUUCAGGAAACUGGGGCUAAUACCGGAUAGGAGCUCCUGCUGCAUGGUGGGGGUUGGAAAGUUUCGGCGGUUGGGGAUGGACUGGCGGCUUAUCAGCUUGUUGGUGGGGUAGUGGCUUACCAAGGGUUUGACGGGUAGCCGGCCUGAGAGGGUGACCGGCCACAUUGGGACUGAGAGACGGCCCAGACUCCUACGGGAGGCAGCAGUGGGGAAUAUUGCACAAUGGGCGGAAGCCUGAUGCAGCAACGCCGCGUGCGGGAUGACGGCCUUCGGGUUGUAAACCGCUUUCGCCUGUGACGAAGCGUGAGUGACGGUAAUGGGUAAAGAAGCACCGGCUAACUACGUG
rnacentral:rRNA from 1 species